rnacentral:rRNA from 1 species
UACGAAGGGAGCUAGCGUUGUUCGGAAUCACUGGGCGUAAAGCGCACGUAGGCGGAUGUGUCAGUCAGGGGUGAAAUCCCGGAGCUCAACUUCGGAACUGCCUUUGAUACAGCACAUCUGGAGUCCGGAAGAGGUGGGUGGAACUGCGAGUGUAGAGGUGAAAUUCGUAGAUAUUCGCAAGAACACCAGUGGCGAAGGCGGCUCACUGGCCCGAUACUGACGCUGAGGCACGAAAGCGUGGGGAGCGAACAGG